rnacentral:RNase_P_RNA from 1 species
AAUUUAGAUAAUUGGAUAUUUGCUAUUGUCAUACAUACUGCAAUAGAGGAAAGUUUGAACUCAUUAAAAGUAAUAGGGUAAUUACCUAUAGAUUAGAAAUUUAAGAAAGUUAUAAAGAAAUUAACAAUGUUGAAACUGAUAAAAUAUGAAUCUCAUGUUUUAAUAAAUAAGACCUGUAUAUGAGCAAAUAAAUUUAAUUAUGAAAAAGACGUUAAAGAUAUCGUUUUUAGAAAAAUAAAUAUCAUGUUAUACAAAAUUCAACUUAUAAAUUAUCUA